rnacentral:rRNA from 1 species
GACGAACGCUGGCGGCGUGCUUAACACAUGCAAGUCGAACGGAAAAGCCCUGCUUUUGUGGGGUGCUCGAGUGGCGAACGGGUGAGUAGCACGUGAGUAACCUGCCCUUGACUUUGGGAUAACUUCAGGAAACUGGGGCUAAUACCGGAUAGGAGCUCCUGCUGCAUGGUGGGGGUUGGAAAGUUUCGGCGGUUGGGGAUGGACUCGCGGCUUAUCAGCUUGUUGGUGGGGUAGUGGCUUACCAAGGCUUUGACGGGUAGCCGGCCUGAGAGGGUGACCGGCCACAUUGGGACUGAGAUACGGCCCAGACUCCUACGGGGGGCAGCAGUGGGGAAUAUUGCACAAUGGGCGGAAGCCUGAUGCAGCAACGCCGCGUGCGGGAUGACGGCCUUCGGGUUGUAAACCGCUUUCGCCUGUGACGAAGCGUGAGUGACGGUAAUGGGUAAAGAAGCACCGGCUAACUACGUG